GAUGAACGCUGGCGGCGUGCCUAAUACAUGCAAGUCGAGCGAACAGACGAGGAGCUUGCUCCUCUGACGUUAGCGGCGGACGGGUGAGUAACACGUGGAUAACCUACCUAUAAGACUGGGAUAACUUCGGGAAACCGGAGCUAAUACCGGAUAAUAUAUUGAACCGCAUGGUUCAAUAGUGAAAGACGGUUUUGCUGUCAUUUAUAGAUGGAUCCGCGCCGCAUUAGCUAGUUGGUAAGGUAACGGCUUACCAAGGCAACGAUGCGUAGCCGACCUGAGAGGGUGAUCGGCCACACUGGAACUGAGACACGGUCCAGACUCCUACGGGAGGCAGCAGUAGGGAAUCUGCCGCAAUGGGCGAAAGCCUGACGGAGCAACGCCGCAUGAGUGAUGAAGGUCUUCGGAUCGUAAAACUCUGUUAUUAGGGAAGAACAAAUGUGUAAGUAACUAUACACGUCUUGACGGUACCUAAUCAGAAAGCCACGGCUAACUACGUG
rnacentral:rRNA from 1 species